rnacentral:rRNA from 1 species
AAUAGAUACCCUGGUAGUCCACGCCGUAAACGAUGAGUGCUAAGUGUUAGGGGGUUUCCGCCCCUUAGUGCUGCAGCUAACGCAUUAAGCACUCCGGCCUGGGGAGUACGGCCGCAAGGCUGAAACUCAAAGGGAAUUGACGGGGGCCCGCACAAGCGGUGGAGCAUGUGGUUUAAUUCGAAGCAACGCGAAGAACCUUACCAGGUCUUGACAUCCUCUGACAACUCUAGAGAUAGAGCGUUCCCCUUCGGGGGACAGAGUGACAGGUGGUGCAUGGUUGUCGUCAGCUCGUGUCGUGAGAUGUUGGGUUAAGUCCCGCAACGAGCGCAACCCUUGAUCUUAGUUGCCAGCAUUCAGUUGGGCACUCUAAGGGUGACUGCCGGUGACAAACCGGAGGAAGGUGGGGAUGACGUCAAAUCAUCAUGCCCCUUAUGACCUGGGCUACACACGUGCUACAAUGGACGGUACAAAGAGUCGCAAGACCGCGAGGUGGAGCUAAUCUCAUAAAACCGUUCUCAGUUCGGAUUGCG